UACAGGGGGUGCAAACGUUGCUCGGAAUUAUUGGGCGUAAAGCGCACGUAGGCGGUUUGUUAUGUCGGAUGUGAAAGCCCUUGGCUCAACUGAGGAAGUGCAUCCGAAACUGGCAAGCUAGAGUAUGUAAGAGGGUCGCGGAAUUCCCGGUGUAGAGGUGAAAUUCGUAGAUAUUCGGAAGAACACCAGUGGCGAAGGCGGCUCACUGGCCCGUUACCGACGCUCAGGCGCGACAGCGUGGGGAGCAAACAGG
rnacentral:rRNA from 1 species